UACGUAGGGACCGAGCGUUGUCCGGAUUCAUUGGGCGUAAAGAGCUCGUAGGCGGCCACUCAAGUCGAAUGUGAAACCUCGAGGCUCAACCUCGAGCCUGCAUUCGAUACUGGGCGGCUAGAGUCUGGUAGGGGGAUCUGGAAUUCCUGGUGUAGCGGUGGAAUGCGCAGAUAUCAGGAGGAACACCGGUGGCGAAGGCGGGAUCCUGGGCCAGUACUGACGCUGAGGAGCGAAAGCGUGGGUAGCAAACAGG
rnacentral:rRNA from 1 species